AGGAAUAUUUUGCCACUAUAUUUUAAUGAGGAAUAAGAUCUACUUCUCAGGUAAAAUUAAUCAUUCAGACUCUACUCAUGGUCUGAGCUAGAAACAGUAUUUCUUACCAAUGGAUAAGUUAAAAAUCAGAUUUAGUUACAAUCCCAACUUAGAAUUUCAUUUUUCAGUUACUCAUAGAACAAUUGGGGAGGUUGUCAAGGAAUCAAAAAUCCAUAUAGCAAGCACCAUGUGAAACCUUAAAAUGAUAUAACUGGACCUGACAGAGCAGCUUGCAAGAUACUGUUUGCUGAUUGACACUGAUCAUAAGAGCCUUCAAGGAUUUAUGAAAAAUUACUUGAAGCUCAACAUUUUGAUUGCAUUUUAUGAAUCAAGACAAAUUCAAGAAACUUUGACCAGUGGUAACUAAUCAAUAAGAUAAUGAU